GUGGUAAUACCGGAUGCUCCGCUCCAUCGCAUGGUGGGGUGGGAAAUGCUUUUGCGGCAUGGGAUGGGGUCGCGUCCUAUCAGCUUGUUGGCGGGGUGAUGGCCCACCAAGGCGUUGACGGGUAGCCGGCCUGAGAGGGUGACCGGCCACAUUGGGACUGAGAUACGGCCCAGACUCCUACGGGAGGCAGCAGUGGGGAAUAUUGCACAAUGGGCGCAAGCCUGAUGCAGCGACGCCGCGUGCGGGAUGGAGGCCUUCGGGUUGUAAACCGCUUUUGUUCAAGGGCAAGGCACGGUUUCGGCCGUGUUGAGUGGAUUGUUCGAAUAAGCACCGGCUAACUACGUGCCAGCAGCCGCGGUAAUACGUAGGGUGCGAGCGUUAUCCGGAUUUAUUGGGCGUAAAGGGCUCGUAGGCGGUUCGUCGCGUCCGGUGUGAAAGUCCAUCGCCUAACGGUGGAUCUGCGCCGGGUACGGGCGGGCUGGAGUGCGGUAGGGGAGACUGGAAUUCCCGGUGUAACGGUGGAAUGUGUAGAUAUCGGAAA
rnacentral:rRNA from 1 species